rnacentral:rRNA from 1 species
AUUGAACGCUGGCGGCAGGCCUAACACAUGCAAGUCGAGCGGAGCGGCGGACGGGUGAGUAAUGCCUAGGAAUCUGCCUGGUAGUGGGGGAUAACGUCAGGAAACGGGCGCUAAUACCGCAUACUAUCAGAUGAGGCUAGGUCGGAUUAGGUAGUGGGGGGGGUAAAGGCCUACCAAGGCGACGAUCCGUAACUGGUCUGAGAGGAUGAUCAGUCGAACGGGAACUGAGACACGGUGCAGGCUCCUACGGUAUGCAGAGGUGGUGAAGAGUGGACAAUGGGCGCAAGCCUGAUGCAGUCAUCGCGCGUGUGGGAGUAAGGUCUUCGGAUUGUAAAGCACUUUACGUUGGUAGGCGUUACCAACAGAAGAAGCACCGGCUAACUUCGGGCCAGCAGCCUCGGUAAUUC